rnacentral:tRNA from 1 species
AGCUCAGUGGUAGAGCACGUGCUUAGCAUGCACGAUGUUCUGGGUUCAACUCCCAG